UCAAGUAAUUAAGUGCAUGUGGUGGAUGCCUUGGCAGUCAGAGGCGAUGAAAGACGUGAUAGCCUGCGAAAAGCUCCGGGGAGGCGGCAAAUAUCCUUUGAUCCGGAGAUGUCUGAAUGGGGGAACCCACCUACUUUAAGGUAGGUAUUGCAACAUGAAUACAUAGUGUUGCAAGGCGAACGAGGGGAAGUGAAACAUCUCAGUACCCUUAGGAAAAGAAAUCAAUUGAGAUUCCCUCAGUAGCGGCGAGCGAACGGGGAUCAGCCCAUUAAGUUAUGUGUGUUUUAGUGGAACGCUCUGGGAAGUGCGAACGUAGAGGGUGAUAUUCCCGUACACGAAAGGGCACACAUGAUGAUGACGAGUAGGGCGAGGCACGUGAAACCUUGUCUGAAUAUGGGGGGACCAUCCUCCAAGGCUAAAUACUCCUGACUGACCGAUAGUGAACCAGUACCGUGAGGGAAAGGCGAAAAGAACCCCUGUGAGGGGAGUGAAAUAGAUCCUGAAACCGCAUGCAUACAAGCAGUGGGAGCACCUUCGUGGUGUGACUGCGUACCUUUUGUAUAAUGGGUCAGCGACUUAUAUUCAGUAGCGAGGUUAACCGUAUAGGGGAGCCGUAGAGAAAUCGAGUCUUAAUAGGGCGUUUAGUUGCUGGGUAUAGACCCGAAACCAGGCGAUCUAUCCAUGAGCAGGUUGAAGGUUGGGUAACACUAACUGGAGGACCGAACCCACUGUCGUUGAAAAGCCAGGGGAUGACUUGUGGAUAGGGGUGAAAGGCUAAUCAAGCCUGGUGAUAGCUGGUUCUCCCCGAAAGCUAUUUAGGUAGCGCCUCGGACGAAUACCAUAGGGGGUAGAGCACUGUUUCGGCUAGGGGGUCAUCCCGACUUACCAAACCGAUGCAAACUCCGAAUACCUAUGAGUACUAUCCGGGAGACAGACUGCGGGUGCUAACGUCCGUAGUCAAGAGGAAAACAAUCCAGACCGCCAGCUAAGGCCCCAAAAUCAUAGUUAAGUGGGAAACGAUGUGGGAAGGCAUAGACAGCUAGGAGGUUGGCUUAGAAGCAGCCACCCUUUAAAGAAAGCGUAAUAGCUCACUAGUCGAGUCGGCCUGCGCGGAAGAUGUAACGGGGCUAAAACUAUGUGCCGAAGCUGCGGAUGUAUACUUUGUAUACGUGGUAGGGGAGCGUUCUGUAAGCCGAUGAAGGUGUGUUGAGAAGCAUGCUGGAGGUAUCAGAAGUGCGAAUGCUGACGUGAGUAACGACAAAACGGGUGAAAAACCCGUUCGCCGAAAGACCAAGGGUUCCAGUCCAACGUUAAUCGGGGCUGGGUGAGUCGACCCCUAAGGCGAGGCCGAAAGGCGUAGUCGAUGGGAAAAUGGUUAAUAUUCCAUUACUUCUGUGUAAUGCGAUGAGAGGACGGAGAAGGCUAAAUCAGCCUGGCGUUGGUUGUCCAGGUGAAAGGAUGUAGGCAUGUAUCUUAGGCAAAUCCGGGGUACUCUAUGCUGAGAUCUGAUAGCAAGCUGUACUUGUACAGCGAAGUGGUUGAUGCCAUGCUUCCAGGAAAAGUCUCUAAGCUUCAGUUACACAGGAAUCGUACCCGAAACCGACACAGGUGGUCAGGUCGAGUAGACCAAGGCGCUUGAGAGAACUCUGCUGAAGGAACUAGGCAAAAUGGUACCGUAACUUCGGGAGAAGGUACGCUGUUGUUGGUGAUGGAACUCGCUUCCUGAGCUGACGACAGCCGCAGAAACCAGGCCGCUGCAACUGUUUAUUAAAAACAUAGCACUCUGCAAACACGAAAGUGGACGUAUAGGGUGUGAUGCCUGCCCGGUGCUGGAAGGUUAAUUGAUGGGGUUAGCGUAAGCGAAGCUCUUGAUCGAAGCCCCAGUAAACGGCGGCCGUAACUAUAACGGUCCUAAGGUAGCGAAAUUCCUUGUCGGGUAAGUUCCGACCUGCACGAAUGGCAUAAUGAUGGCGGCGCUGUCUCCAGCAGAGGCUCAGUGAAAUCGAAAUCGCUGUGAAGAUGCAGUGUACCCGCGGCUAGACGGAAAGACCCCGUGAACCUUUACUGCAGCUUGACACUGAACUUUGACCUUACUUGUGUAGGAUAGGUGGGAGGCUUUGAAGCUGGAACGCUAGUUCCAGUGGAGCCGUCCUUGAAAUACCACCCUGGUAAUGUUGAGGUUCUAACUCUGUCCCGUGAUCCGGGACGAGGACCGUGUCUGGUGGGUAGUUUGACUGGGGCGGUCUCCUCCUAAAGAGUAACGGAGGAGUACGAAGGUGCGCUCAGCGUGGUCGGAAAUCACGCGUAGAGUAUAAAGGCAAAAGCGCGCUUAACUGCGAGACCCACAAGUCGAGCAGGUACGAAAGUAGGUCUUAGUGAUCCGGUGGUUCUGUAUGGAAGGGCCAUCGCUCAACGGAUAAAAGGUACUCUGGGGAUAACAGGCUGAUACCGCCCAAGAGUUCAUAUCGACGGCGGUGUUUGGCACCUCGAUGUCGGCUCAUCUCAUCCUGGGGCUGAAGCAGGUCCCAAGGGUAUGGCUGUUCGCCAUUUAAAGAGGUACGCGAGCUGGGUUUAGAACGUCGUGAGACAGUUCGGUCCCUAUCUACCGUGGGCGCUGGAAAUUUGAGAGGAUCUGCUCCUAGUACGAGAGGACCAGAGUGGACGAACCUCUGGUGUACCGGUUGUGACGCCAGUCGCAUCGCCGGGUAGCUAUGUUCGGAAGGGAUAACCGCUGAAAGCAUCUAAGCGGGAAGCCUACCUCAAGAUAAGAUUUCCCUAGGACUUUAUGUCCUCUAAAGAGCCGUUCGAGACUAGGACGUUGAUAGGUUGGAUGUGGAAGCAUAGUGAUAUGUGAAGCUGACCAAUACUAAUUGCUCGUGAGGCUUGACUAU
rnacentral:rRNA from 1 species